rnacentral:rRNA from 1 species
AACGAACGCUGGCGGCAGGCUUAACACAUGCAAGUCGAACGCCCCGCCAGGGGAGUGGCAGACGGGUGAGUAACGCGUGGGAACAUACCCUUUUCUACGGAAUAGCUCUGGGAAACUGGAAUUAAUACCGUAUACGCCCUACGGGGGAAAGAUUUAUCGGGGAAGGAUUGGACCGCGUUGGCUUAGCUGGUUGGGGGGGUAAAGGCCUACCAAGGCGACGAUCCAUAGCUGGUCUGAGAGGAUGACCAGCCACAUUGGGACUGAGACACGGCCCAAACUCCUACAGGAGGCAGCAGAGGGGAAUAUUGGACAAUGGGCUCGAGCCUGAUCCAGCCAUGCCGCGUGAGUGAUGAAGUCCGUAGGGUUAUAAAGCUCUUUAACCGAUGAAGAUAAUGACGGUAGUCGGAGAAGAAGCCCCGGCUAACUUCGUG